rnacentral:misc_RNA from 1 species
UUAAGUUCAGCGGGUAUCCCUACCUGAUCCGAGGUCAACCUGGAUAAAAAUUUGGUUGGGGGUCGGCUGGCGCCGGCCGGGCCUGCAAGAGCGGGUGACAAAGCCCCAUACGCUCGAGGACCGGACGCGGUGCCGCCGCUGCCUUUCGGGCCCGUCCCCGGGGGGACGCGGCCCAACACACAAGCCGGGCUUGAGGGCAG